rnacentral:lncRNA from 1 species
GUGCACCUCUGCAUUGUGAGAAUCGUCACAGCUUGGGAGACCUCUGAUCCUGGGGAGACAGGACUGAAGGUUCUUAAAGACCAGAGUUUCAGUUGAUCUUAUGUGCAUCUCCAAUGAGGGCUUCCACCUAGAAGCUUCUCAGAAGUUGUGGAGGAGGAAGAGAUGGUGCUAUUGUUGCAAGUUGUCUGGCUUUGCUGCCUGUUCUCCUCUUUUCUGCCUUCAGUAUGGGAUUCAUAGACUCCACACAAAUAUCAAAAAAUAUUAUAAGAAAGCAGAUAUGUCAAAAAUAGUAUGAGAAAGUGGGAAAAAUGAAAAGUUAUUUAUAAUCUCAUUGCCCUUGGUAACAAUACCAAUUAUCACCAUCAAUGUGCUAUAACCCAUUUGUGUUAUUUUGCAGUCUUUUUUUUAACAUAAUUAUUAUCUUGGGAUUCUUUUCAAUUUUUCCAUUUAUGUUUUUCUGCCAGCAAUGCCCAUGCAAUUUCACAGCCUUUUCAACUACCAUUUUGGAAUUUCCU